rnacentral:rRNA from 1 species
GUGAACGCUGGCGGUAGGCCUAACACAUGCAAGUCGAACGGCAGCACAGUAAGAGCUUGCUCUUACGGGUGGCGAGUGGCGGACGGGUGAGGAAUACAUCGGAAUCUACUUUUUCGUGGGGGAUAACGUAGGGAAACUUACGCUAAUACCGCAUACGACCUACGGGUGAAAGCAGGGGAUCUUCGGACCUUGCGCGAUUGAAUGAGCCGAUGUCGGAUUAGCUAGUUGGCGGGGUAAAGGCCCACCAAGGCGACGAUCCGUAGCUGGUCUGAGAGGAUGAUCAGCCACACUGGAACUGAGACACGGUCCAGACUCCUACGGGAGGCAGCAGUGGGGAAUAUUGGACAAAGGGCGCAAGCCUGAUCCAGCCAUACUGCGUGGGUGAAGAAGGCCUUCGGGUUGUAAAGCCCUUUUGUUGGGAAAGAAAAGCAGCAGGUUAAUACCCCGCUGUUCUGACGGUACCCAAAGAAUAAGCACCGGCUAACUUCGUG